CGCUCUUGCUUGAUUCGCUUCUGCUUGCUUUUGCUCAUUAGCUAGUUUAGCUAAACUGUCCAAAUUUCAUUCUGGACUGUUUCUCCUUUCCUUUUUCCACCCAUUUCAAACCUGCUCCAGACUGGGACCUGGGAACACCGAGAGUUUGCACCUUGCAGCCUGCAGCAGCUGCCCCAGUGCCGGAGGGACUGAGAACAGACUGACCACCCCCCAGGAGAGACUUUCUGAAUUUGUCAUCUUUUUCAGAGUGGUGCCAUCCGGCUCUUUGUUGUCCCUUGCACCUCUUGUCUCGCUGCCCCUGUCUUAAUCUCAGUGCGGCCCAAGCCCAUCUCAGAAAGCUUCCAAGCAGCAGCCAGAAGUGGAUGAGGCUCCAAGGACUCUACAAAUCCAUUCUGCAUUUCAGUGGCACAGAGAAGCACAGACAAGAAGGGACUUGCUGCAACAAAUGUUCAGCUAUUCCUGCUUUCAUAAGGAGACGUUGGUUGCCAAGUAGCCCAAAGGCCAGAGGAAACAAACCUCCUCCUCCUCUUAUCUGCUCCUAAGUAUUUCUCUUCCAUCUUGGUGUGGGAAAAGAAAAUAACAGGAAAGGGAGGAUAUGAAAAAUAGGAUGUUCCACUGGGGAAAAAGAAAAAGAUUUAAGGUAAAUUUAUGGCCUGGUGAAGGCCUAAAGAAGGAUCUGCAGAUUAGAUGCAAGGAGUUUGUGGUUAGGUAGUGGAAAGCAGAACCAGCAGAAUGAGACAGAAAAAGGGAGAUGCUGGGAGAAGUGAGAGAUUUUGGCAGAACUAGGCAAAAUAAGGAAAAGGAAAAAAUGAAAAGAAAAAUGCAAAAGGAGCUUAAAGCUUUUGUCUUUUCAAAAUAAAACUUUUUUGAAAGAAAAAUGUAACUAAUCCGAAUGGGACUGGAGUAAUUAGUAGAUGGAGAAGUGCCAAAUAUAAUGAAAAAUAGAGAGGAAGAAGGAAAAUGUAAAAAUGAAAGGAAGUGGAAAAGGGGAGGGGGAACACCCUACAUUACUUCUAUUUUCCAAUUCCUUUGUUUUGUCAUAUGUCCUUGGGAAAUCAGUUUAUUGUGAUAAAAGAAUUUAUGUCUAACAA